rnacentral:misc_RNA from 1 species
GAUGAAGAACGUAGCGAAAUGCGAUACGUAGUGUGAAUUGCAGAAUUCAGUGAAUCAUCGAAUCUUUGAACGCACAUUGCGCCCUUUGGUAUUCCAAAGGGCAUGCCUGUUCGAGCGUCAUUUGUACCCUCAAGCUUUGCUUGGUGUUGGGCGUCUUGUCUCCAGUCCGCUGGAGACUCGCCUUAAAGUCAUUGGCAGCCGGCCUACUGGUUUCGGAGCGCAGCACAAGUCGCACUCUUUUCCCGCCAAGGUCAGCGUCCAACAAGCCUUUUUUCAACUUUUGACCUCGGAUCAGGUAGGGAUACCCGCUGAACUUAAGCAUAUCAAUAAGCGGAGGA